AGGAACAGAAAACAAGGAAUUAGUUGGUGGCAAGAACGUUCUCGCUCUUCUUCCAAUGAUCCACUGAAGGAUAAUGAGCAGAGCGCAGCGAUGUUCAGUCCUCAACUGUUUACAAGACCAACUUUAAGUGGGGAUUUUAGUCGAGAGGUCCAUGCCACAUAUAAAUGGUAGGCAAGUCAUGGCGUUGGCAGCGUCUGCUGGGAUUGUCAUCACAGACCGGGUCAUCCAGCUGCUACACAUGUACAGUGGAAAUUGAAUUAGGCUCUUCCCUCACUUGUACUGUUGUAAACCAUCAAAUGAACACUCUAGGUAGACAAGACAGUGAGUUCAGUAAUGGCUGGCGAAGAGCAUGCGCACCACAAGUUUGGAGCCAGCCAGGUCAUACGUGUUGCACCUACCACAAUUCCAUUUCUUUGGUCUUCUGUGUUGAGCCUGUUUCAAAAUGUGCCUGUACAACCACAUGUGUAUAGAA